rnacentral:rRNA from 1 species
AACGAACGCUGGCGGCAUGCCUAACACAUGCCAGUCGAACGAGACCUUCGGGUCUAGUGGCGCACGGGUGCGUAACGCGUGGGAACCUGCCCUUAGGUUCGGAAUAACUCCCCGAAAGGGGUGCUAAUACCGGAUAAUGUCUUCGGACCAAAGAUUUAUCGCCUUUGGGUGGGCCCGCGUUGGAUUAGCUAGUUGGUAGGGUAAAAGCCUACCAAGGCGACGAUCCAUAGCUGGUCUGAGAGGAUGAUCAGCCACACUGGGACUGAGACACGGCCCAGACUCCUACGGGAGGCAGCAGUGGGGGAUAUUGGACAAUGGGCGAAAGCCUGAUCCAGCAAUGCCGCGUGAGUGAUGAAGGCCUUAGGGUUGUAAAGCUCUUUUACCCGGGAUGAUAAUGACAGUACCGGGAGAAUAAGCUCCGGCUAACUCCGUG